rnacentral:lncRNA from 1 species
UAUCAAUUAUUGACUUGUUUUGUGAAUUCCAUAGUUUUGUUCUAAAUCUAUAACUUUUUAACAAGAGUGUAAAGUAUUUAAAAAAAAGUAUUUUCCUGUAACAGCUGCGUCCAUCUCAAAACAUUGUUAAAUGUAGUUCUAGCAUAAAUUAGUUAUUAUCAAAAAAAGUAGAAAGGUAUUGUUAUCUACUAUUUGGUCGGGUUGUUAUCUCCUUUACACAUUCCCAAUUUCUGUUCUGAAUUUUAUCAUGAUUUCCAGUUUCGUUUUAUAAUUCGAUUAAGAAGAGAUAACUCAAACGCAAACACUCAAUCUCCUAAGCAAUACAUUAGCACGACUAAAAUAAUUAAUAAAACUAGUUAAAUAGUCACAAUAACGAAUUAGUAAAUCGAUAUGAUGUCUCAAAAGACGACAAUCAUUUUGGAUAAGAAAAAGCAAUAACGAUUAAAGAAAAGUCACAUAGUAAAUCAUCUUAUAUAGAAUGAAAAUGUGAAGUUUGAUCUAACUGUCUA